UACAGAGGGUGCGAGCGUUAAUCGGAAUUACUGGGCGUAAAGCGUGCGUAGACGGUUAUUUAAGUCGGGUGUGAAAGCCCCGGGCUCAACCUGGGAAUUGCAUUCGAGACUGAAUAGCUAGGGUACGGUAGAGGGAAGUGGAAUUUCCGGUGUAGCGGUGAAAUGCGUAGAUAUCGUUUGGAACGCCAAUGGUGAAAACAGGUUGCUGGGAGUGCGCUGACGCUGAGACACGAAAGCCAGGGGAGCGAACGGG
rnacentral:rRNA from 1 species